AUGCCCGCAACAAACAAGAACAGAAGAUACAUGACUUAUGAGGCUACCAGAGGCUACUACACCUCUAAUUUAAUGAUAGCCUGCAACUUACUUGCUUCCAACACACUAGUAACACAUUCUAAGGAAGUUCGAGAUGGGAACACUUGUUUCAAAUGCUCUCCUCCCAUCUGCGAUGCUGCCAACAAGGAAAACCUCUGGGAAGCUCUGCUGGUAAUGCAAUCUCCUGUCCAUCCCAGCUCCAACUUACUGCUGCUAAUCAAUUAUCUGCAUGUAAUAGAAAAGUAG
rnacentral:rRNA from 1 species